GGGGUUAUGGCUCAGCGGUAGAGCGCUCACCUCGAACGUGUGAGACCCUAGGUUCCAUCCUCAGCACCA
rnacentral:tRNA from 1 species